UACGGAGGAUCCAAGCGUUAUCCGGAAUCAUUGGGUUUAAAGGGUCCGUAGGCGGCCCUGUAAGUCAGUGGUGAAAUCUUUCGGCUCAACCGGAAAAUUGCCAUUGAUACUGCAGGGCUUGAAUUAUUGGGAAGUAACUAGAAUAUGUAGUGUAGCGGUGAAAUGCUUAGAGAUUACAUGGAAUACCGAUUGCGAAGGCAGGUUACUAUCAAUUAAUUGACGCUGAUGGACGAAAGCGUGGGGAGCGAACAGG
rnacentral:rRNA from 1 species